rnacentral:rRNA from 1 species
CCGUUGCCGGCGACCGGCGCACGGGUGAGUAACACGUAUGCAACCUGCCCGUGGCAGGGGGGAGUAAGCGGGGGGAAACCCCGGUCUAAUACCGCGUAACGCUGCCUAGGGACAUCCCAAGGCCGCCAAAGGGAGCAAUCCCGGCCACGGAUGGGCAUGCGGCGCAUUAGCUAGUCGGCGGGGUAACGGCCCACCGAGGCGACGAUGCGUAGGGGUUCUGAGAGGAAGGCCCCCCACACUGGUACUGAGACACGGACCAGACUCCUACGGAAGGCAGCAG